UACAGAAGUCCCAAGCGUUGUUCGGAUUCACUGGGCGUAAAGGGUGCGUAGGUGGUUAGGUAAGUCUAAUGUGAAAUCUCCGAGCUUAACACGGAAACUGCAUCGGAUACUAUCUAGCUUGAGGGUUGGAGGGUGGACUGGAAUACUUGGUGUAGCAGUGAAAUGCGUAGAUAUCAAGUGGAACACCAGUGGCGAAGGCGAGUCCCUGGACAACUCCUGACACUGAGGCACGAAAGCUAGGGGGGCAAACAGG
rnacentral:rRNA from 1 species